GCCUUCGUAGUGUAAAGGUAGCACACUCGUCGCAUAUUCGAGAGGUCCAGGUUCGAGUCCCGCAGAAGGCA
rnacentral:tRNA from 1 species